GGGAAUGUGACUUAGUGGUAGAGCGCUUGCCUUGCAGGCAUGAAGCCCUGGGUUCAAUUCCUCAGUACCA
rnacentral:tRNA from 1 species